AAUCAACGCUGGCGGCGUGCCUCAGACAUGCAAGUCGAACGAUUAAAGCUCUCUUCGGAGAGUGCAUAGAGUGGCGCACGGGUGAGUAACACGUAAGUAAUCUACCUUCGAGUGGGGAAUAACGUCCGGAAACGGACGCUAAUACCGCAUAAUGCAGCGGCAUCGCAAGAUGACAGUUGUUAAAGAUUUAUCGCUUGAAGAGGAGCUUGCGGCAGAUUAGCUAGUUGGUAAGGUAAUGGCUUACCAAGGCUACGAUCUGUAACCGGUCUUAGAGGACGGUCGGUCACACUGACACUGAAUAACGGGUCAGACUCCUCCGGGAGGCAGCAGUCGGGAAUUUUGGGCAAUGGGCGAAAGCCUGACCCAGCAACGCCGCGUGAAGGAUGAAGUAUUUCGGUAUGUAAACUUCGAAAGAAUGGGAAGAAUAAAUGACGGUACCAUUUAUAAGGUCCGGCUAACUACGUGCCAGCCGCCGCGGUAACAC
rnacentral:rRNA from 1 species